GCUCCACUCCAAAGCCUGGGAGCUAUUUGCAUGAAGUGCACAUAAGGGUGAUGUGACCUGCCCACGACUGUAAUCCAGGAAAGCCAGAAGAGCAGCAAUGACAGGAUGAAAAACAACUGUGCUGAGGGUAGCAGGAGAAGACAAGUCUACUAUGGAUGCAUUGAUCAGGAAUAAUGUCUUCAAACAAUGUAUUUUCUAAAGCAGCUUUAGAAAAGGAAUGCACUGGUUCCUGGACAACUUAGUGGAAACUGAAGGCUGACUGCAUGGAACAAAAGGCAGCUUUUCCCACAUGUGAAAAGAAAUCAUGAUAACAUGGAUAACAUAAAUAAUAAUUACCUAGUAUUUCCCUGU